rnacentral:rRNA from 1 species
AGAACGAACGCUGGCGGCAGGCCUAACACAUGCAAGUCGAACGCCCCGCAAGGGGAGUGGCAGACGGGUGAGUAACGCGUGGGAACGUACCCUUCGGUUCGGAAUAACCCGGGGAAACUCGGGCUAAUACCGGAUACGUCCGCAAGGAGAAAGAUUUAUCGCCGAAGGAUCGGCCCGCGUCGGAUUAGCUAGUUGGUGGGGUAACGGCCCACCAAGGCGACGAUCCGUAGCUGGUCUGAGAGGAUGAUCAGCCACACUGGGACUGAGACACGGCCCAGACUCCUACGGGAGGCAGCAGUGGGGAAUAUUGGACAAUGGGCGAAAGCCUGAUCCAGCCAUGCCGCGUGAGUGAAGAGGCCCUAGGGUUGUAAACCUCUUUUAUCAGGGACGAUAAUGACGGUACCUGACGAAUAAGUCACGGCUAACUACGUGCCAGCAGCCGC